UACGUAGGGCGCAAGCGUUAUCCGGAAUUAUUGGGCGUAAAGAGCUCGUAGGCGGUUUGUCGCGUCUGCCGUGAAAGUCCGGGGCUCAACUCCGGAUCUGCGGUGGGUACGGGCAGACUAGAGUGAUGUAGGGGGAGACUGGAAUUCCUGGUGUAGCGGUGAAAUGCGCAGAUAUCAGGAGGAACACCGGUGGCGAAGGCGGGUCUCUGGGCCGAUACUGACGCUGAGGAG
rnacentral:rRNA from 1 species